rnacentral:misc_RNA from 1 species
GAUGAAGAACGCAGCGAAAUGCGAUAAGUAAUGUGAAUUGCAGAAUUCAGUGAAUCAUCGAAUCUUUGAACGCACAUUGCGCCCACCAGUAUUCUGGCGGGCAUGCCUGUUCGAGCGUCAUUUCAACCAUCAAGCCCCCGGCUUGUGUUGGGGACCUGCGGCUGCCGCAGGCCCUGAAAACCAGUGGCGGGCUCGCUAGUCACUCCGAGCGUAGUAAUACAUCUCGCUCAGGGCGUGCUGCGGGUUCCGGCCGUUAAAAAGCCUUAUUUACCCAAGGUUGACCUCGGAUCAGGUAGGAAGACCCGCUGAACUUAAGCAUAUCAAUAAGCGGAGA